UGGGAUGUGGCUCAGUGGUGGAGAGCUUGCCUAGCAUGCACAAGGCCCUUGGUUCAAUUCCCAGCACUACAA
rnacentral:tRNA from 1 species